rnacentral:tRNA from 1 species
GCCGGGAUGGCGGAAUUGGCAGACGCGCACGGCUUAGAACCGUGUGAAUGAAAGUUCGUGGAGGUUCAAGUCCUCUUCCCGGCA